AUUGAACGCUGGCGGCAGGCCUAACACAUGCAAGUCGAGCGAGCGGCGGACGGGUGAGUAAUGUAUGGGGACUGCCCGAUAGAGGGGGAUAACAACUGGAAACGGUGGCUAAUACCGCAUCCUGUCGGAUACCCCAUAUGGGUUUAGCUAGUUGGUAGGGUAAGGGCUUACCUAGGCGUCGAUCCCUAGCUGGUCUGAGAGGAUGAUCAGACACACUGGGACGGAGAACCGGCCCAGACUCCUACGGAGGCAGCGGUGGGGAAUAUUGGACAAUGGGGGCAAGCCUGAUGCAGCCAUGCCGCGUGUAUGUAGAAGGCCCUAGGGUUGUAAAGUACUUUCAGUCGGGAGGCGUUACCGGCAGAAGAAGCACCGGCUAACUCCGUGCCAGCAGCCGCGGUAAUAC
rnacentral:rRNA from 1 species